UCCCUUCUCGCCAUCUUUAGUUGGUAAAAGCAUUGUCGCGGUGAGCGGUGUCGGCUGGUGCCUCAGCUCGGUGUAUCGUGUGCAGUGCGAACAUUUUGUACGGCGAUACACGGAGGAGCAGGAAGCUCCAGCAACACGGGACACGUGUAGUCGCGUCGAAGCAAGGUGCGCAGGUAAACCCGCUUGCUGUGCGACAUGAAUUACCCAAUGCCCACGAAUCAGUCCAGACCGAUGUCUCAAGGAAAUUACCGAGGUCCGGGCGACCUGCCCAUGGGUUCCGCCAAGGAACAGACGCUGAUGUGGCAGCAAAACUCAUACUUGAGUGAUUCGGGCAUCCAGUCUGGCGCAGUCACUCAGGCGCCAUCGCUGUCCGGCAAGGAGGAUGAGGAGAUGGAAGGAGAUCAGUUGAUGUUUGAUCUUGAUCAGGGAUUUGCACAAGGCUUCACGCAAGAUCAAGUUGAUGCAUGUCAUAAAGGCUCGCAUCUUCCAGAGAUGAAUCAACAACUCAGUCACACUCGGUCGCAGCGUGUGCGUGCUGCUAUGUUCCCCGAAACCCUGGAGGAGGGCGUGGAGAUACCCUCUACGCAGUUCGAUCCCGCGCAGCCGACUGCCGUACAAAGACUGGCCGAACCGAGCCAGAUGCUGAAGCACGCUGUGGUCAACCUGAUUAAUUAUCAGGACGACGCUGAUCUCGCCACGCGUGCGAUUCCUGAGUUGAUCAAGCUCUUGAACGACGAGGAUCAAGUUGUCGUUUCUCAAGCGGCUAUGAUGGUGCAUCAGUUGUCAAAGAAGGAAGCCUCCCGUCACGCCAUUAUGAACAGCUUACAGAUGGUAGACGCAUUAGUACGCGCUAUUUCUAAUAGCGACGACUUGGAGUCUACGAAAGCAGCGGUUGGCACCCUGCACAACUUAUCACAUCACAGGCAGGGUCUGCUAGCAAUCUUCAAGAGUGGUGGCAUCCCUGCACUUGUAAAAUUGCUGAGCUCGCCGGUGGAGUCCGUUCUUUUUUACGCGAUCACUACGCUGCACAAUUUGUUGCUUCAUCAGGAUGGCUCGAAGAUGGCGGUACGCUUGGCCGGAGGUUUGCAGAAGAUGGUUACAUUGCUUCAACGAAACAACGUUAAAUUCUUGGCCAUUGUCACCGAUUGCCUGCAGAUCCUGGCAUAUGGAAAUCAGGAGAGCAAGCUCAUCAUUCUUGCCUCGCAGGGCCCAAUAGAGCUCGUACGUAUCAUGCGCUCUUAUGAGUACGAGAAAUUAUUGUGGACCACUUCGAGAGUACUGAAGGUCUUGUCCGUCUGCCCUAGCAACAAGCCCGCUAUCGUGGAGGCUGGCGGGAUGCAAGCGCUCGCUAUGCACCUCUCGAAUCCAAGUCAACGAUUAGUGCAGAAUUGUUUGUGGACGUUGCGCAAUCUGUCGGACGCUGGCACGAAAAUCGACGGUCUUGAUAAUCUGCUUCAGAGCUUGGUGCUCGUCCUGAACUCGUCGGAUGUGAACGUGGUCACAUGCGCAGCCGGAAUCUUGUCAAACUUAACUUGCAACAAUCAGCGCAACAAAAUCACGGUAUGUAACUUCGGCGGAGUCGACGCUCUCGUCCGCACGAUUCUCAGCGCCGGCGAUCGGGAGGAGAUAACCGAGCCGGCAGUAUGCGCGCUGCGCCACUUGACCUCACGUCACGGCGAGGCGGAGAUGGCGCAGAACUCCGUGCGACUAAAUUACGGUAUACAAGUCAUAGUGAAAUUGCUCCAUCCGCCAUCCCGUUGGCCCUUGGUGAAGGCCGUGAUCGGCCUGAUCCGCAAUCUGGCCCUCUGCCCCGCAAAUCACAGCCCGUUGCGCGAGCACGGCGCGAUACACCACCUUGUGAGACUCUUGAUGCGCGCAUUCCAAGAUACUCAACGACAACGGUCAUCGGUAGUCAGUACGGGAAGCCAACAGACACCUGGCGCUUACGCGGACGGAGUGCGUAUGGAGGAGAUAGUGGAGGGCUCAGUGGGCGCCCUUCAUAUUCUUGCGAGGGAAUCCCAUAACAGAGCGAUAAUCCGCUCACAGAACGUUAUACCCAUUUUCGUACAGUUACUGUUCAAUGAGAUUGAGAACAUUCAACGCGUAGCGGCCGGCGUACUCUGCGAGCUGGCAGCGGACAAAGAGGGCGCGGAGAUAAUAGAGCAGGAAGGCGCCACGGCUCCGUUAACGGAACUGCUUCAUUCUAGAAAUGAGGGUGUUGCCACGUACGCCGCGGCAGUGCUAUUCCGCAUGAGCGAGGACAAGCCCCAAGAGUACAAAAAGCGGCUUUCCAUGGAACUGACAAACUCCUUGUUCCGCGAGGACCCGAACCUGUGGAACAACGCUGACUUCAGCAUGGCUCCAGAUCUCCAGGACAUGCUUGGCCCUGAUCAAGGCUAUGAUGGUAUGUAUGGGCAAGGACCUCCUAGCGUACACAGCAGCCACGGCGGACGGGGUUAUCAACCGCAAGCAGCUUAACCCGUGGACUUAAAUUAAAAUACAGGCUAUCAACAGUUUCUCGCAGUAACAUAGGUUAUGACCAGAUACCAGUAGACUCAAUGCAAGGAUUGGAGAUAGGUAGUGGCUCGACGUA
rnacentral:misc_RNA from 1 species